UACGUAGGGGGCGAGCGUUGUCCGGAAUCAUUGGGCGUAAAGAGCUCGUAGGCGGCCUGUUGCGUCCGCUGUGAAAGCCCGGGGCUUAACCCCGGGUCGGCAGUGGAUACGGGCAGGCUAGAGGUAGGUAGGGGAGAAUGGAAUUCCCGGUGUAGCGGUGAAAUGCGCAGAUAUCGGGAGGAACACCGGUGGCGAAGGCGGUUCUCUGGGCCUUACCUGACGCUGAGGAGCGAAAGCGUGGGGAGCGAACAGG
rnacentral:rRNA from 1 species